rnacentral:lncRNA from 1 species
GUUAUAUUUGCUGACGACUAUGGGAGGUGACAAAGGGCUGUUUGGCUUUGGCGGUCCUGGAUAUGGAUCGUGUCCUCAAGGACAGAGCUAUCCUCCAUCGGGAGCAGCUUAUCCGCCACAAAGCUACCCGCCAAGUGGCUACUCAGCUGGGUACCCGCCAAGUGGCUACUCAGCAGGGUACCCGCCAAGUGGCUACUCAUCAGCAGGGUACGCGGCUUAUCCUCAACAAGGCGGGUACCCCGUCACAAGUUACCCUGCCGGCCCAUCCCCACCAAGUACUGGCUAUUCUCAUCAUGGUGGAUUCGGGGGUUCCUAUGGCAGCCACCAUGCGGCUCCCCACGGGCACUACGGUAGCCAUGGAAAGAACAAGGGUGGCUUCGGC